GAUGAACGCUGGCGGCGUGCCUAAUACAUGCAAGUCGAGCGAACGGACGAGAAGCUUGCUUUUCUGAUGUUAGCGGCGGACGGGUGAGUAACACGUGGAUAACCUACCUAUAAGACUGGGAUAACUUCGGGAAACCGGAGCUAAUACCGGAUAAUAUUUUGAACCGCAUGGUUCAAAAGUGAAAGACGGUCUUGCUGUCACUUAUAGAUGGAUCCGCGCUGCAUUAGCCAGUUGGUAAGGUAACGGCUUACCAAGGCAACGAUGCAUAGCCGACCUGAGAGGGUGAUCGGCCACACUGGAACUGAGACACGGUCCAGACUCCUACGGGAGGCAGCAGUAGGGAAUCUUCCGCAAAGGGCGAAAGCCUGACGGAGCAACGCCGCGUGAGUGAUGAAGGUCUUCGGAUCGUAAAACUCUGUUAUUAGGGAAGAACAUAUGUGUAAGUAACUGUGCACAUCUUGACGGUACCUAAUCAGAAAGCCACGGCUAACUACGUG
rnacentral:rRNA from 1 species